UACGGAGGGGGCUAGCGUUGUUCGGAAUUACUGGGCGUAAAGCGCACGUAGGCGGCUUUGUAAGUUAGAGGUGAAAGCCCAGGGCUUAACCCUGGAAUUGCCUUUAAGACUGCAUCGCUAGAAUCGUGGAGAGGUGAGUGGAAUCCGAGUGUAGAGGUGAAAUUCGUAGAUAUUCGGAAGAACACCAGUGGCGAAGGCGGCUCACUGGCCCGGUACUGACGCUGAUGUGCGAAAGCGUGGGGAGCAAACAGG
rnacentral:rRNA from 1 species